UUCUGAGCGGCGCGGAGCUACCACACCCUGCCAGACUCGCCCUUGGGUCCCUGUCUGACGAGCUCUAGGCAAUCUGCCCUCGUUCGGGACACAACCAUCGGUCUCACCCCUCAGUUUCUGCCAGAGAAAAAGGAAAAGUCACCAAGAGGCCUGACCCUGACGGGUGGGGGAGAUGCGCGUGUGGAGUAGCGGGAAGCGACUGAGGAGCGGGGACUGGGCAGCAUUUGAAUGGAUGCGGGUGCCGCUGGCACCCGGGAAGACGCUGGGGGCCGGCGCUGUAGAGCCGGGCAUGGGCUGGGAUGUGUUUGGAUUCCAAUCUGGGCCUGACACCAGUUCAGUGACCUCGGGAAGUUCCCCAACCCUCCGGGCCUGUUUCCUCCCUUUGAAGUGGCGACAGUAGUAGAACCGACCUCGUAGGCUCAUCGGGAGGUCCUGAUGGGAGAACCCAUGCAACUUGCCACCAUAGAGCCAGGCCCGCGGCGAUUGGCUCCUGGUGGGUAUUAAAGACGAGUCGGGAAAGAAGAGCAGGUUGAUAGACUGGAUGCUGCUAUGGUAAUCUGCCUCAGGAAAAUGCCGGACUGUUGUUUGCAAGCUGGUUAAGUGAGCAAAUCUUGGGAAGAUUUCAAGUUUUUAUCUUCAGGAAACUCCCAAGCAUUCUGGAAGCUCUGCAUGUGAGUAAGAACCACUGCUGUUGCUGUUGCUGUAGCUGCCUGAAUCUAUGGCAAAAAGCCAGGAAAAAAAAAUUGCUUCACACCAUGUGCACCGACUCCCCUGGAGCUGGCACCGCCAGGGCGUCUGCAGAGCUAUGUAAGUCGUUCUCCAAGCAGUCUGUCUCUUUGGUAGCUACAGAAACAGUGUUUGUUAUCCUUCAGUUUUCGGUAGACAGGCAAAAAUCUGAUGGCGACAUUCUCUGUUUCUGAAGUUGGAGAGCCAACCAGCAAAACCUUCAGAAAGAAGGCAGCUUCUACCAGAGGGAUCUUGUCUCUUAUUGCUGCUUUCAAUACUUUGGAGCCUCAGUGAGAGGACUCUCUAUGAAACCAUGGAAUUAAAGUUGCCCUUUCAGAUUUUAACCUUGAGAUCAAUGCACAGUGGGUCAAAGUAUAGUUAUUCAAAGUCUUAGUAAAGAGGUAAAAUGGCUCCCUGGUAAGCAAGAUUAUGCUAUAAUCUUAAAAUAGGCUCACACCUGUAAUCCCAG
rnacentral:antisense_RNA from 1 species